GGGUUCCUACGGGAGGCAGCAGUCGGGAAUAUUGCGCAAUGGAGGAAACUCUGACGCAGUGACGCCGCGUGCAGGAAGAAGGUUUUCGGAUUGUAAACUGCUUUAGACAGGGAAGAUAAAAGACAGUACCUGUAGAAUAAGCUCCGGCUAACUACGUGCCAGCAGCCGCGGUAAUGCGUAGGGAGCAAGCGUUAUCCGGAUUUAUUGGGUGUAAAGGGUGCGUAGACGGGAAGGCAAGUUAGUUGUGAAAUCCCUCGGCUUAACUGAGGAACUGCAACUAAAACUACAUUUCUUGAGUGCUGGAG
rnacentral:rRNA from 1 species